CCCCCACUAUGGCCUCAGAUCAGACAUGGCAACCCACUGAAUGCAAGCAUCUCACUAAGCGCAGGUAAAGAAUCUAACCAGGAUUCCCACUGUAACAGUAUGUGAAAAUGUACGACCAGGGCGCUGAUUCCACAUGCAGCAAUAGAUGCAGGAAAUGUGGCAUACAGAAUACCAACUACCGAACAUCACUCAGGGGGCCCAUGUUCUUCUGUUUGGGGCCCACCACAUGGAUGGUGUUAAGUUGAUAGUGUCCCCUGGCACACCUUCCUCAGGUCUACUCUGAGUCGGGUGCUUGGUAAUGCAGCCAAAAGUGGGUGGUAAACUCCAUCUAAGGCUAAGUAUGGGUUUGAGACCAAUAACCAACAAGUACCUUAAGGGAACAUUGGAAAGAACUUUGAAGAGACAGUUCCAUCCAUAGGUAAACAGGUUGGAUCUAUGCAGUUUGGCCAGAGGAUUCAACGCGGUGGGCACGUUGGUCACCAAGAACAGCGGGACCACUAUACAAGCACUAUCCAGACACAUCCGGCCCUGCAGGGUGCAUUUCCUCUGUGGAUGUGUACCAUGACUGGCUCCUAGUCAGCUUGGAAUUCCCUGGGGUGCAGGUGGCUUUCCGAUCCAGCAGAGAGUGUAACAGCCCACUAACUGCAGUUUCACCAUGUCCACAGGGCCAAUGGAGAUUGACCACUGGUGUGCUCUCCUCCGGUAACUGUCCCAGCCCCUCUCAGAGGUCACCAUGUCAGAGACGGUGACGGGCCCCCUGCUCCCGGUGGGACUGUCGAUCGGGUGGGUUGUGCUCAGUGUACCCAGACCACCACGGAACACCAUUGUAUGGGGAGGCCCACAAAGGGGUACAGGUGUCUGCCGUUAUAUUGGUUACUGACCCAUUCGGUCUUGAAACAAGGGGUCUAUAAGGUGCGCAAGUCAGAGAUGCAAAUACAAUCCUGUUGCACAAUGAAGGUGAGGGCCAUGCACGCUGGCUGAUAUGGGAUCCUGUUGCAUCAUGCACACCACUGCACCUUUCGCCUGCUCUGUCAGGGAGGUGAAGCAUGUGCAUUUGUUAUAGGACCUGAAUGAGUGUAUAAUAUGCCUAAGCAGGGCAAAUCCAGAGUGUACUCUGGUGGUGGUCUGUAGCAGCGGUCAUCCAACCUGGGUCUAGGGGUGAAAGACUAAUCAAACCAUCUAGUAGCUCGUUCCCUCAGGAUAGAAGGCAUUCAGAUACCCCAGUCUUAUCUGGUGAAUCAAAUGAUUAGAGGUUUUGGGGCCAAAAGGAUCUCAAACUAUUCUCAAACUUUGUAUGGAUGAGGAUCACUGGCAUGAAGCUGGGAAACCAAUGUCAGUGCCCAGUGUGCGACUUUUGGUAUGCAGUACUGGCAGUGCAGGAUGAACCGAAUGCUAGGUUAAGGCACACAAUGCUGAUGCGCAUCAAGCCCCUGAUAGUGUUGGCUGAUAUAGACAGCAGAACGGUGUCCAUGGAAGUCAGAAUCUGCCAAGGGGUGUGCAACAUCUCACCUGCAGAAUCUACUAACCAUUACAAUCGAUGGAGCUGGAGCGUAGUGCCCAUACGCAGAUGCUGCCAGUGAUGAGAGCCACAGGGGCUAAGCUGCAAUGAGUAGGAGGGCUGCUGAGGUGUGCACAGUACCCUAGGACGAGUGCCUGGGUGGAGCCACUGCAGGUGCAGAUCUUGGUGAUAGUAGCAAAUAUUCAAAUAUAAACUUUGAAGACCAUAGUGUAGGAGGGCACCAUGUGAACAGCUGUUGAACAUGGGUCAGUCAUUUCUGUGAGAUGGACGAACACCGUUCGGAAGGGACAGGCAAUUGUCUUUGUUGCCCUCAGCCGAUCGAAAGUGAGGUUGAGUUCAGAUAACCGAACCAUGAGUGGCAUAGACGGGCAUCCUUGCAGCAUCCAUUGCGAUGAGGCAAAAGUUACCGGAGAACCUGCUGUGUGCCAUCGGGAGAGUUCUAUUUUCUUUCUGAAGGACAGGUCACCCUGGAAUGGGUUUACCCUGAAACCCUGAGAGAGGCGCCCGAGUAUUGGAAAGCAUUGCAUAUGUGUGUCAUACUGUGAGCUCUCGCUAGUCCUUAUUAAUCCAGGGAAGAAAGUGUGAAUCUCGCACAGGCCUGUACCGAUAUCCAAAGCCGGGCUCCAAGGUGAACGACCUCUGGCAUGUUGGAAAAAUAUAGAUAAGUGUAGUCACCAAGUCAGAUCUGUAACUUCGGGAUCAGAAUUGGCUGAAAGGGCUGGUUGGGUUAGGCUGUUGCACAUAGCGGGAUUGGCCAUACCCCACAACUGGAUGAGGCAUUUCCACCCCCGGUGGCCCUGCCAACUCUGGACAUGAACCAGAUCCUUUCUAUAGUUCACCCCAGCUGGAGUGGUGUCCUCUGUCCGUUCUGCUCCGGGGGUUCAGGGCCGGCAUUCUGACUUACCACUGGUGCGGACCAGGGCCAUCCAACAGUUUAAUUGAAACAAGGCAUCACAAAGGUCCACAGCAGGUGUUGACUCAAUGUGAUUUCUGCACAGUGCUCUGAGUGUCAAAGUGCUGAAAUUCAGUGAAGCAAAGGGUAAAUGGUGGGAGUGACUAUGACUCUCUUAAGGUGGCCAAAUGCCACAUCAUCUCAUUGGUGGCAUGCAUCAAUGGAUGAAUGGGAUUCCCACAGUCCAUACCUACUGUCUACUGAACCCCAGCCAAGGGAAUGGGCUUGGCAGAAUCAGCAGGAAUAAGAGACCCUGUUGAGCUUGCCUCUAGUCUGGUACUUUGAGGAGACAUGAGAGGUAUGUUAUAGGUGGGGGGCCUUGGGCCAGUGGUUAAAUACCACUCCUGUUAUCAUGUUUUCACUUAUCCUGUGAGGUGGUGUAGCAAGACCUGUGAAGCUGUCACUUCAGGCUGCAAUUACCCAGCUUCAGCCAAGGGAGACCUGCUCCAGAGACAUUGGCAGGUGUGGAAGUUGACUGGGGCAGUACACCUGUCUUACGAUAACGCAUGUGUCCUAAGACAAGUUAAGGGAGUACAAAAACAUCCUGUGGCGACGAAGGGCAAAAGCUUGCUGGAUCUCAAUUUAUGUAUGAAGUGUAAGUUAAGACAUGGUAUCAGGCAGUGAAGACAUACACAAGUGAUCACAGUUCAAGAGUGUUUAUUGAAUUUCGGUGGGUUGGUUGAAUGCCUAUCUAACCCUAACUGUAAGGAUGGGAGAAAGCUACGACCAUCAAAUAAUAAUAACACAGUCCUGGUGGAGUCUCUCUCAAUAUAAAAGGUCCUAUACUAAUAAACCUAUUGUGAAUCCUUACUUCUAAAUACAAAUGGUUUGGGACAACAAUGUAUGCAAAGAGAAAAGUGUUCAAGAGAUUAUAUGUAAGGAUAGUUGAGCAGUUUACUUUCCCCACAUUUUCAGCACAGGGCAAGGUGGCAUGCUCAAGCUUCGCACACACUCUGGCUUCUCUGCCACAAGAUUACAGUUCAAAGUAGGGUAUCAAGGCCUUCUGCCAAAGUCUAUUUCCCAACAACAGUCUCUUAU
rnacentral:rRNA from 1 species